CAACAUUUUAAAAGUUCAAGUUAAAAGGAUAUUGUGUUGGAGCAAAUAUCACUAUGAAGCUAGGAAGCAUUAUCAAGUUAAUAGGGGUUUUGUGUACUCUCUUAAGCUGCACCUACGCACAAAAUGAAAAGUAUUGUCCCCAAGUAAUGACUUGGGGUGGUGCUUGUCGUAAUAGUUGCGAGAAAGAAAUCAUCAAAGAAUAUGGACCAAAUUCAAAGCCAAGACAAUGCACUUGUAAAGAUCUUCCAAUUCCCGGUGAUAUGCACGUAUGUACGUGUUGUAUUGUUUGUAAAUAUGUGAAAGACAAGAAUGUUUUUCCAGCUGCAUUCCAAGUUAAUGCUAAUCUAAAUUAUACUUGUAAUAACAUCUAAUAUAUUGGGGUUAUUAUAAAGCCCUCAUAAAUCUCAAUAACAUGAGUUGUUAUAA